rnacentral:rRNA from 1 species
GCUAGUAAUGGCAGGUCAGCAUACUGCCGUGAAUACGUUCCCGGGCCUUGUACACACCGCCCGUCACACCAUGAGAGUUGGGAAUACCCGAAGCCUGUGAGCUAACAUUUAUGAGGCAGCAGUCGAAGGUAGAAUCAAUGAUUGGGGUGAAGUCGUAACAAGGUAAC